GCGUUGUUCGGAUUCAUUGGGCGUAAAGGGUGCGUAGGUGGCGUGGUAAGUCGGUUGUGAAAUUUCGGAGCUUAACUCCGAAACUGCAUUCGAUACUGCCGUGCUUGAGGACUGGAGAGGAGACUGGAAUUUACGGUGUAGCAGUGAAAUGCGUAGAGAUCGUAAGGAAGACCAGUGGCGAAGGCGGGUCUCUGGACGGUUCCUGACACUGAGGCGCGAAGGCCAG
rnacentral:rRNA from 1 species